AAUGAACGUUGGCGGCGUGGAUUAGGCAUGCAAGUCGAGCGAGAACCCGCAAGGGGGACAGCGGCAAACGGGGUAGUAAUGUGUCGGAACGUGCCCUCUGGACGGGGAUAGCGGCGGGAAACUGCCGGUAAUACCCGAUGAUCUCGAGAGAGCAAAGGUGUGAUUCCGCCGGAGGAGCGGCCGACAUGGUAUUAGCUAGUUGGCGGGGUAACGGCCCACCAAGGCUGUGAUGCCUAGGGGAUGUGAGAGCAUGAUCCCCACCAUUGGGACUGAGACACUGCCCAGACACCUACGGGUGGCUGCAGUCGAGAAUCUUCGUCAAUGGGCGAAAGCCUGAACGAGCGACGCCGCGUGCGGGAUGAAGGCCCUUGGGUUGUAAACCGCUGUCGAGGGGGAUGAAGGCCUUCCGGUACUCCGGAAGGUUUGACAGAGCCCUGGAGGAAGCACGGGCUAAGUUCGUGCCAGCAGCAGCCGCAGUAA
rnacentral:rRNA from 1 species